UACAGCGGUCUCAAGCGUUGUUCGGAUUCAUUGGGCGUCAAGGGUGCGUAGGCGGCGCGGUAAGUCGGGGGUGAAAUCUUGGAGCUUAACUCCGAAACUGCAUUCGAUACUGCCGUGCUUGAGGACUGGAGAGGAGACUGGAAUUUACGGUGUAGCGGUGAAAUGCGUAGAUAUCGUAAGGAAGACCAGUGGCGAAGGCGGGUCUCUGGACAGUUCCUGACGCUGAGGCACGAAGGCCAGGGGAGCAAACGGG
rnacentral:rRNA from 1 species